UGCAUGUCUCAGUGCAAGCCAAAUUAAGGUGAAACCGCGAAUGGCUCAUUACAUCAGUUAUGGUUCCUUAGAUCGUACCCACAUUACUUGGAUAACUGUGGUAAUUCUAGAGCUAAUACAUGCAAAUAGAUUUCCGACCAGAGAUGGAAGGAAUGCUUUUAUUAGAUCAAAACCAAUCGGUGGUGGGCUUGUCUUGCCACCGUUUGACUUGGUGACUCUGAAUAACUUUGUGCUGAUCGCACGGUCUCGUACCGGCGACGCAUCUUUCAAAUGUCUGCCUUAUCAACUGUCGAUGGUAGUUUCUGCGACUACCAUGGUUGUUACGGGUAACGGGGAAUCAGGGUUCGAUUCCGGAGAGGGAGCCUGAGAAACGGCUACCACAUCCAAGGAAGGCAGCAGGCGCGCAAAUUACCCACUCCCGGCACGGGGAGGUAGUGACGAAAAAUAACGAUACGGGACUCAUCCGAGGCCCCGUAAUCGGAAUGAGUACACUUUAAAUCCUUUAACAAGGACCAUUGGAGGGCAAGCCUGGUGCCAGCAGCCGCGGUAAUUCCAGCUCCAAUAGCGUAUAUUAAAGUUGUUGCGGUUAAAAAGCUCGUAGUUGAAUCUGUGUGCCACACUGUCGGUUCACCGCUCGCGGUGUUCAACUGAUAUGUCUGUGGGACGUCCUGCCGGUGGGCGCAGCCCCUCAAAAGGCGGCCCAACUCAAAAUCCUACCACGGUGCUCUUCACCGAGUGUCGAGGUGGGCCGGUACGUUUACUUUGAACAAAUUAGAGUGCUUAAAGCAGGCUCAUUCGCCUGAAUAUUCUGUGCAUGGAAUAAUGGAAUAGGACCUCGGUUCUAUUUUGUUGGUUUUCGGAACUCCGAGGUAAUGAUUAAUAGGGACAACUGGGGGCAUUCGUAUUGCGACGUUAGAGGUGAAAUUCUUGGAUCGUCGCAAGACGGACAGAAGCGAAAGAAAU
rnacentral:rRNA from 1 species